AUGCCCCUGUCUCUCUCUCAGAGAUUCUGAGUGGGGAGGGAAUUUGUGUUGGUGUAAGUGUGUGCCCCACAAGGGAAGGACCUGCCCAACACACCGUGUGCUUUGCCCUCAGCAAGGAGCCACAGCUGCAGGUGGAUUUCCACACCGGGAUGGAUGAGGACUCAGACAUCGCUUUCCAUUUCCGAGUGCACUUUGGUCAUUGUGUGGCCAUGAACAGCCAUGAGUGGGGGGUCUGGAAGUGUGAGGUGAAAUCUGACAAUAUGCCCUUUGAGGGUGGCCAAUCAUUUGACCUGCGCAUCUGAGUGCUGGACAAGGAGGACCAGGUAAUGGUAAGUGGCCAACACUGCUACAGCUUUGCCCAUCGACUCCUGCCAGGGUCUGUGAAGAUGGUGCAAGUGUGGAGAGGUAUCCCCCUGACCUCAAUGUGUGUCUGAGAUUGA
rnacentral:lncRNA from 1 species